GGCGGGGUGGCAGAGUGUUUAUGCCAUAAGAGGUGCAACUCUUAUGUAGGCCGGUUAAAAUCCGCGCCCCCGCCU
rfam:Neisseria weaveri LMG 5135 NW5135.2_3, whole genome shotgun sequence.